rnacentral:tmRNA from 2 species
GCUCAUUAAGCGUGUCGGAGGGUUGUCUUCGUCAUCAACACACACAGUUUAUAAUAACUGGCAAAUCAAACAAUAAUUUCGCAGUAGCUGCCUAAUCGCACUCUGCAUCGCCUAACAGCAUUUCCUAUGUGCUGUUAACGCGAUUCAACCUUAAUAGGAUAUGCUAAACACUGCCGUUUGAAGUCUGUUUAGAAGAAACUUAAUCAAACUAGCAUCAUGUUGGUUGUUUAUCACUUUUCAUGAUGCGAAACCUAUCGAUAAACUACACACGUAGAAAGAUGUGU